GUACGCAAACCAUAAACCUAUUCCUCAGAUUGUACUUGCAACAGCUGCACCCGACAAGUUUCCAGAAGCAGUUGAGAAAGCUGGUGUACAACCCAAACCAAACCCAGAGAUUCAGAAGCUCUUCAAUAUGGCGACAAGAUACGAUGAGAUGAAGAAAGGAGAAAACUGGGAGUCUAAACUGCGACAGAAAAUAGAAUUCAUCUCGACUAAAUAUCAAUGAGUUAUCUAACUGUUAUAAUUCUAGAAUAAAUAUUGGGUUUAUCCUAGACUCCUAGUGUGUGAAAUAGUUGAAUAAAUCUUUGCAUUUAU